rnacentral:rRNA from 1 species
AUAUCAGCAUCGCUCACACUCCGGCGUGCAUACCUCAUGCUCUCCUCGAAGUGAGCAGCCUUGAUCUCGUCCACCUCGUCUUCCUCCAUGGCUUCAGGGUUUUCCUUCAGCCGCCUCUCCUUUUCCAUGUCCUUCUCAAUGUUCUCUCUGAUGGCGUAUUUGCACGCACGCUGGCAGAUUUCCAUGAUGUCCGCGCCGCUGAACCCUUGUGUGUAUUUGGCGAGCGCAUUCAGGUCGACAUCCUUGGCCACAGGAGACUUCCUGAGGCAGGCCCUGAAGAUCUGGAGCCUGGAUUCAACAUCAGGCAGAGGAAUGUAG